rnacentral:rRNA from 1 species
AUCAUGGCUCAGGAUGAACGCUAGCGGGAGGCCUAAUACAUGCAAGUCGAGCGGUAGAGUGACUUCGGUUGCUUGAGAGCGGCGAACGGGUGAGUAACGCGUACACAAUCUACCUUUAAGAGGGGAAUAGCCCUGGGAAACUGGGAUUAAUGCCCCAUGGCAUCACGAGACGGCAUCGUUUUGUGAUUAAAGCUGAGGUGCUUAGAGAUGAGUGUGCGUCUGAUUAGCUAGUUGGUGCGGUAACGGCGCACCAAGGCGACGAUCAGUAGGGGGCGUGAGAGCGUGGACCCCCACACGGGUACUGAGACACGGACCCGACUCCUACGGGAGGCAGCAGUAAGGAAUAUUGGUCAAUGGAGGAAACUCUGAACCAGCCAUCCCGCGUGCAGGAAGAAUGCCCUAUGGGUUGUAAACUGCUUUUAUCUGGGAAGAAAAGUCGGGAUUUAUCCUGAUCUGACGGUACCAGAGGAAUAAGCACCGGCUAACUCCGUG